CUUCGCUGUGCCUCCGCCCAGCCCCCACGGCGUCCGCUGGGCCAGCUCUGCAGUCGGGGUCUUUUGAAGCCCCCAUCCCGCGGCUGCUGGAGCGGAUGAGUUAUUUAGUAAAAGAGAAGAUAAGAAGAAAUUUCAUCUUCCUUGAAAUCCAGGAUAUGGUGCUUUUCUGAUUUUCAGACAGUUCUUUCAUGGAUUGAAGACAAUUGUUCUAUUUUAUAAUGGAAACUCACCAACUCUUAGAAGGAUUUUAAUGUGAAAAUGGCAACAUGAGAAACGUACAUAGUUUCGAAGGACCAUCAGUUUCAGGAACUGCCUUUGCCAGCCUCCCUGUAUGCCUUCACACCCAAUACCUGCCCCUCACAGGAACCCUGGGCAAUCUCUUGCUUUGCAACCAAGGAACUGGUGUAUGUGGAUGAGAAAUGGUGUCCUAAGGGCAGAAGAGUUUUGCGCUGAGGAAACAUGUCAGCUUCACCGGCUUUGUCUACUAACCCCAUGCCUGGGGAAUUAUAAGGAAAGGAUUUGGGCACCACGUUGUCUGCAGCAUGAAUCCUGCCAGGCUGUGGCUGUCACCAAGGUUAUUGGACACUCCUCCCUGAGCAGGACCCACCUGGGAGGCAUGCAGAUGACAAGUGCCACUCAACCUUGUCCUCAGUGCCUGCUGGGCCCUGUGUGCACACUCAGGGAAUGAGAGGAACUGUGGAGCAAGUGGGGACUUAAGACUUCGAAACCUGCUAAAAAUGAGCUUUCCAGACCUACCCAUCUAGGAAUAAACCAUCUCAGCCCUGAGAGAUCUGAUGAAACCUGAGACCAGAGAUUCAUUUUCUUGUAAAAUGCUUUCUCCAAAAGACUUUGUAAAGAAAAGGGGGAAAUGUGAAAGGAAAAUACCUCGGGCUCUUUCAAGCUGGGAACUGCGCAGGGCAAAUCGGCCUCCCAUUCUCAUUCUAUUCAAGUCAUCCCUUUGCUCACACAGAUAGAUGCAUAUUCUGAUUGCCUUCUUGGAAGAAACUUAACAGAAACUCUAAAGAAUGCAACCAUAUCUGUUUCUUACCUAUUUGUGACCUGGAAGCCCCUGGGGAGGGUUGGGGCAGGAAACCUUGCUUUGAGCUGUCUCCGCCUUUCUGGACAGAACAAUGUACUUCUUACAUAUGAUGGAUGGUUCAUGUCUCCCUAAAAUGUAUAAAACCAAGCUGUGCCCCAACCACCUUGGGAAAAUAUCACCAGGACUUCCUGAGCCUAUGUCAUGGGCACAUCCUCAAUCCUGGCAAAAUAAACUUGCUAAAUUAACUGAGACCUGUCUCAAAGUUUCGAGAUUCACACUCCUAUGCAAGGAAGGCAGGCAACAUGUUUUCUAAUGCCACACGAAAUGAAAGCACAAAAUGAAACGUGGACGCUUGAAAGAACAGUCUUUCUAUAAGUUAUUGUGACAUGCUCCAUAAUUUAUUGAC